CCUCCUUCCCUUCCUUCCUUCCUUCCUUCCUUCCUUCCUUCCUUCCUUCCUUCCUUCCGUCCAAGAGCCUCUGAGCCAAUGGCCUUCCUAAGACAUGCCCCAGCGUUGACAUCUGGGCACACUCAUCCUCGAAGUUCUUACAGUUUCCCGCUCUGCUCUGACUGUACCGGCUGCCCUCACUCACUCUCGGGGAUGAAGCCUGGGGACCAUUUCCUAUCUCUCCCAGCCCUCCGCCCUCCCUCAGGGUCCUAGGGACCGGCCACAGGCCACGGGGGAUGGGCUUUUCCAAGAGGUUGAACGCAGUGUUAAGAGGAGAGAGCAGUGUGUUUGACUGUUUAUCCCAACCCAGGCCUUUUCUCGGGAUCUUCAGCUGACUUCUUCCUAACACCCUUCCCUGGGGAUCGGCAAUGGAUGGGUUAGUGAUGAUCCCCACCAGCUUCGACUUGAGAUGUGUCCUGUUAGAACGCAAGGCAGCAGGUAGGGAACCGAGAGCUGGGUAGGACGUGCAUUUGGACUGAAUCCUUUACCGCAGAUAAAACCAGAUUCUAAACACCCUCCUAAGAAGUCAUCUCUUUCAUUGGGGCUCGCUUUAACUUCUUUUACUAAAUAUGCUCUCCCCCAAAAUGUAAAAUCAAACAAGGAAGUCUCCGGAGGUAGAAAUUCUAAUAAAACUGUGUAGGCCUUCCACACUGCAGGAAAAGUGACCGAGGGUAGCUGGAAACUGACCCACACACGGUGGGACUUACCACUGUCAUCUGGGAAGCCAAAGGGACUGUGAAUGGGAUGGCGUCUCACAGGAGUGAUUCCAGUUGAAGAAAAUGUCCCAAAUACGAACAUAACAUUACCAAAAGAUGGAAGAGAACCCGCCUUUCAGGAUGUCAGCCUGCUAUGGUUUCCCUUCACUCGGUCUCAAGGAAGGACGCCAGUUUGUAAGAAACGUUAACGGCUAUUUAUGGACCUGGGCAAGAUGGUCUAUGGGCCAGUGUACAAGGAUCACCAUUCAGAAUAAAUGUUUUUAUUUAUAGAUGUGAUGUGUAAAUAAACACUGUCAGGCUGCCUAGUAACUCUUU